UUGAACGCUGGCGGCAUGCUUUACACAUGCAAGUCGAACGGCAGCGGGGGCUUCGGCCUGCCGGCGAGUGGCGAACGGGUGAGUAAUGCAUCGGAACGUACCCAGUCGUGGGGGAUAACUACGCGAAAGCGUAGCUAAUACCGCAUACGCCCUGAGGGGGAAAGCGGGGGACCUUCGGGCCUCGCGCGAUUGGAGCGGCUGAUGUCGGAUUAGCUAGUUGGUGGGGUAAAGGCCUACCAAGGCGACGAUCUGUAGCUGGUCUGAGAGGACGACCAGCCACACUGGGACUGAGACACGGCCCAGACUCCUACGGGAGGCAGCAGUGGGGAAUUUUGGACAAUGGGGGAAACCCUGAUCCAGCCAUGCCGCGUGCAGGAUGAAGGCCUUCGGGUUGUAAACUGCUUUUGUACGGAACGAAAAGAUCUCUUCUAAUAAAGGGGAUUCAUGACGGUACCGUAAGAAUAAGCACCGGCUAACUACGU
rnacentral:rRNA from 1 species